AGAGUUUGAUCCUGGCUCAGGAUGAACGCUGGCGGCGUGCCUAAUACAUGCAAGUCGAGCGAACGGACGAGAAGCUCGCUUCUCUGAUGUUAGCGGCGGACGGGUGAGUAACACGUGGAUAACCUACCUAUAAGACUGGGAUAACUUCGGGAAACCGGAGCUAAUACCGGAUAAUAUUUUGAACCGCAUGGUUCAAAAGUGAAAGACGGUCUUGCUGUCACUUAUAGAUGGAUCCGCGCUGCAUUAGCUAGUUGGUAAGGUAACGGCUUACCAAGGCAACGAUGCAUAGCCGACCUGAGAGGGUGAUCGGCCACACUGGAACUGAGACACGGUCCAGACUCCUACGGGAGGCAGCAGUAGGGAAUCUUCCGCAAUGGGCGAAAGCCUGACGGAGCAACGCCGCGUGAGUGAUGAAGGUCUUCGGAUCGUAAAACUCUGUUAUUAGGGAAGAACAUAUGUGUAAGUAACUGUGCACAUCUUGACGGUACCUAAUCAGAAAGCCACGGCUAACUACGUGCCAGCAGCCGCGGUAAUACGUAGGUGGCAAGCGUUAUCCGGAAUUAUUGGGCGUAAAGCGCGCGUAGGCGGUUUUUUAAGUCUGAUGUGAAAGCCCACGGCUCAACCGUGGAGGGUCAUUGGAAACUGGAAAACUUGAGUGCAGAAGAGGAAAGUGGAAUUCCAUGUGUAGCGGUGAAAUGCGCAGAGAUAUGGAGGAACACCAGUGGCGAAGGCGACUUUCUGGUCUGUAACUGACGCUGAUGUGCGAAAGCGUGGGGAUCAAACAGGAUUAGAUACCCUGGUAGUCCACGCCGUAAACGAUGAGUGCUAAGUGUUAGGGGGUUUCCGCCCCUUAGUGCUGCAGCUAACGCAUUAAGCACUCCGCCUGGGGAGUACGACCGCAAGGUUGAAACUCAAAGGAAUUGACGGGGACCCGCACAAGCGGUGGAGCAUGUGGUUUAAUUCGAAGCAACGCGAAGAACCUUACCAAAUCUUGACAUCCUUUGACAACUCUAGAGAUAGAGCCUUCCCCUUCGGGGGACAAAGUGACAGGUGGUGCAUGGUUGUCGUCAGCUCGUGUCGUGAGAUGUUGGGUUAAGUCCCGCAACGAGCGCAACCCUUAAGCUUAGUUGCCAUCAUUAAGUUGGGCACUCUAAGUUGACUGCCGGUGACAAACCGGAGGAAGGUGGGGAUGACGUCAAAUCAUCAUGCCCCUUAUGAUUUGGGCUACACACGUGCUACAAUGGACAAUACAAAGGGCAGCGAAACCGCGAGGUCAAGCAAAUCCCAUAAAGUUGUUCUCAGUUCGGAUUGUAGUCUGCAACUCGACUACAUGAAGCUGGAAUCGCUAGUAAUCGUAGAUCAGCAUGCUACGGUGAAUACGUUCCCGGGUCUUGUACACACCGCCCGUCACACCACGAGAGUUUGUAACACCCGAAGCCGGUGGAGUAACCUUUUAGGAGCUAGCCGUCGAAGGUGGGACAAAUGAUUGGGGUGAAGUCGUAACAAGGUAGCCGUAUCGGAAGGUGCGGCUGGAUCACCU
rnacentral:rRNA from 1 species